rnacentral:rRNA from 1 species
CAGCCGCCACGGUAAUACAGAGGGUGCGAGCGUUAAUCGGAUUUACUGGGCGUAAAGCGUGCGUAGGCGGCUUUUUAAGUCGGAUGUGAAAUCCCUGAGCUUAACUUAGGAAUUGCAUUCGAUACUGGGAAGCUAGAGUAUGGGAGAGGAUGGUAGAAUUCCAGGUGUAGCGGUGAAAUGCGUAGAGAUCUGGAGGAAUACCGAUGGCGAAGGCAGCCAUCUGGCCUAAUACUGACGCUGAGGUACGAAAGCAUGGGGAGCAAACAGGAUUAGAUACCCCGGUAGUCCCUGUCUCUUAUAC